GAAAGGCGCGCGAUACAGGGUGACAGCCCCGUACACAAAAAUGCACAUGCUGUGAGCUCGAUGAGUAGGGCGGGACACGUGGUAUCCUGUCUGAAUAUGGGGGGACCAUCCUCCAAGGCUAAAUACUCCUGACUGACCGAUAGUGAACCAGUACCGUGAGGGAAAGGCGAAAAGAACCCCGGCGAGGGGAGUGAAAAAGAACCUGAAACCGUGUACGUACAAGCAGUGGGAGCACGCUUCGGCGUGUGACUGCGUACCUUUUGUAUAAUGGGUCAGCGACUUAUAUUCUGUAGCAAGGUUAACCGAAUAGGGGAGCCGAAGGGAAACCGAGUCUUAACUGGGCGUUAAGUUGCAGGGUAUAGACCCGAAACCCGGUGAUCUAGCCAUGGGCAGGUUGAAGGUUGGGUAACACUAACUGGAGGACCGAACCGACUAAUGUUGAAAAAUUAGCGGAUGACUUGUGGCUGGGGGUGAAAGGCCAAUCAAACCGGGAGAUAGCUGGUUCUCCCCGAAAGCUAUUUAGGUAGCGCCUCGUGAAUUCAUCUCCGGGGGUAGAGCACUGUUUCGGCAAGGGGGUCAUCCCGACUUACCAACCCGAUGCAAACUGCGAAUACCGGAGAAUGUUAUCACGGGAGACACACGGCGGGUGCUAACGUCCGUCGUGAAGAGGGAAACAACCCAGACCGCCAGCUAAGGUCCCAAAGUCAUGGUUAAGUGGGAAACGAUGUGGGAAGGCCCAGACAGCCAGGAUGUUGGCUUAGAAGCAGCCAUCAUUUAAAGAAAGCGUAAUAGCUCACUGGUCGAGUCGGCCUGCGCGGAAGAUGUAACGGGGCUAAACCAUGCACCGAAGCUGCGGCAGCGACGCUUAUGCGUUGUUGGGUAGGGGAGCGUUCUGUAAGCCUGUGAAGGUGUGCUGUGAGGCAUGCUGGAGGUAUCAGAAGUGCGAAUGCUGACAUAAGUAACGAUAAAGCGGGUGAAAAGCCCGCUCGCCGGAAGACCAAGGGUUCCUGUCCAACGUUAAUCGGGGCAGGGUGAGUCGACCCCUAAGGCGAGGCCGAAAGGCGUAGUCGAUGGGAAACAGGUUAAUAUUCCUGUACUUGGUGUUACUGCGAAGGGGGGACGGAGAAGGCUAUGUUGGCCGGGCGACGGUUGUCCCGGUUUAAGCGUGUAGGCUGGUUUUCCAGGCAAAUCCGGAAAAUC
rnacentral:rRNA from 1 species